UUGCCUGUCAGUUCAUAGAUAAUAUAAACAAAACAAAGUUGUUUUGAUGCACGUGUUUCAUUCUGACCUAUUUCUUACAUUACUUUGUUGCAAAAUGCCGUUUUAAUGUUCCGUUGGCGAUGCCCUUGUCUGCAUCUAUGGCCGGUUGUGAGAAAUCUUCUAAAGAAAUGAAACGCAUUGUUUGUCUGGAUUCUAAGGUUGGAAUAGUACGAGAAGUUGCAUAUAGUUUAGACGAAUAAUAGAAUAUGACACUAGGAAGGGUGUGGCAUGGCGUCUCUCGUAAGGUUGUAGCAGCGUUUGAGUGUAUCUAUGUUUUCCAUUACAGUUAACAAUAAUACGCUGCAUUAAUAAAGAUUUAAUUAAUUUUUUUAAAGACAAAAAUUUUUGAGGCGAAAUACCCUACAAGAAGUUUGUAAAAAAAAAUGCAUUAAUAAGUUGUACAAACGUAUAACUGAUUAUUUUUGCUUGAAUAUUAACGCAUGUGGGUAGUGUUGACUAUUUGUUUGAAACAUGCACCUUUUGCUAUCAAACUUUUGUUUUGCAGAUAAGACAAAAGGGGUGCCAGAUACGCACAAAUACGAAAUGUAUUGCUGUACCAUCUGAGUUUGUCAUAAAAUUAUUUUGAGAAUA